rnacentral:rRNA from 1 species
AUGUGUAUACAAAAAAGUAACAGAUGUAUGAGAUUUCGAGACCUUCAUGCUGUUAACCUUGCCUUGCUUGCAAAACAAAGUUGGAGAUUGAUAACCCAUCCAGAUACUCUCUAUGCAAAGGAUCUUCGUGCAAAAUACUAUCCAGACGGUAAUUUGCUUAAAGUAGUAGUGAAGAAGGGGUCUUCAUUCACAUGGCAAAGUAUUGUCUCGGGUCUCCAAACUUUUAAAAGGGGACACAUUUGGAGAGUUGGUACUGGCGUGCAAAUAGAUAUCUAG